rnacentral:rRNA from 1 species
UGCAUGCACGUCGAACGGCGCAUCCCCUUCGGGGGUGGAUCAGUGGCGAACGGCUGAGUAACGCGUAAGUAACCUACCCCCGAGUGGGGAAUAACUCCGGGAAACCGGAGCUAAUACCGCAUAAUCCGUUGCGUCGCAAGGCGGAACGGCAAAGGUCUCGGCCGCUUGGGGAUGGGCUUGCGUUCUAUCAGGUAGUUGGUGAGGUAAGAGCUCACCAAGCCAAUGACGGAUAGCUGGUCUGAGAGGACGACCAGCCAGAGGGGGACUGCGACACGGCCCCCACUCCUACGGGAGGCAGCAGCAGGGAAUCUUGCGCAAUGGGCGAAAGCCUGAUGCAGCGACGCCGCGUGCGGGAAGAAGGCCUUCGGGUUGUAAACCGCUUUUCUGAGGGAAGAGAAAGGACGGUACCUCAGGAAUAAGCCUCGGCUAACUACGUGCCAGCAGCCGCGGUGAUACGUAGGAGGCAAGCGUUGUCCGGAUUUACUGGGCGUAAAGGGCGUGUAGGCGGUACAGAAAGUCUUUGCUUAAAGAUCCCGGCUCAACUGGGAGAGUGGCAGAGAUACUUCUGAACUAGAGGGCAGUAGAGGAGAGCGGAAUUCCCGGUGUAGUGGUGGAAUGCGUAGAUAUCGGGAGGAACACCAGUGGCGAAAGCGGCUCUCUGGGCUGUACCUGACGCUGAGGCGCGAAAGCGUGGGUAGCAAACCGGAUUAGAUACCCGGGGUAGUCCACGCCAUAAACGAUGAGAUGCUGGGUAUAGAGGGUAUCGACCCCUUCUGUGCCGAAGCUAACGCGUUAAGCAUCCCGCCUGGGAACUACGGCCGCAAGGCUAAAACUCAAAGGAAUUGACGGGGGCCCGCACAAGCAGCGGAGCGUGUGGUUUUAAUUCGAUGCUAAGCGAAGA